GACGAACCGUCCUAACGUUAUUCGGAAUCACUGGGCUUAAAGGGCGCGUAGGCGGCCCGCCGCGUCCGGGGUGAAAUCCUCCCGCUCAACGGGAGAACGGCCUCGGAUACGGGCGGGCUGGAGGGGGGUAGGGGCAGGCGGAACUGUGGGUGGAGCGGUGAAAUGCGUUGAGAUCCACAGGAACUCCGGUGGCGAAGGCGGCCUGCUGGACCCCAUCUGACGCUGAGGCGCGAAAGCCAGGGGAGCGAACGGG
rnacentral:rRNA from 1 species